rnacentral:tmRNA from 1 species
GGGGACGCGCGGGUUCGACAGGGGUGUUCUGUAACGGAUUGCAAGCCGAGGAAGCCAUCAACCUCGUUAAUCCGGUGGCGCAAAAGUAACUGGCGAACGUGAAUUCGCUCUAGCGGCCUAAGCGCCGCUACGUCUGCUCCCAGCUAUUCCCGGAUGAGGGGAUGCAGGCGCCAUAAGUCCGGGAUGCGGCCAAUCCAAUGCCGGUAAGGGCGGCCUAAGAUCAACCGGCUGGGCCUCUCCAGAUUGUGUCGGCGGUAUCUGAAGAGUCCAAGAACAAACCGCCGGACAAGCUUGUAGCACAUCCGGUUUAUAGGCUCUUCUGGACGGGGAGUUCGACUCUCCCCCGUCUCCACCA